GAACAUACCGGUUUUCGGUUGGCGGCUCCAUUUUGAGUUUGAACCCGAGUCUUCAUUCUUCGCUCCCUUUCCUUGCCGGUCCGGUUCCGGCGAACAGCCAAGGAAAUGACCCGCCGACUCCUCGGAAACUAAGCGGUAACCGCUUAUAUGUUGAUGCUAUGUUGCUUGACGAGUUCUCGUGUUUUUUUUUUUGUCUGUACUGUUUGCUAAUUUGUGGUGAAUUUUUUGCUUAAUGGUAAGUGAAAGUUUCUCGAUCGAUGAUUUCUCAAAUUCUCCAUAUGUAUUUUUUAGAGUUUUACAUGAAUUAUUUUUUUUUUUAACCUCUUGGAGCCUAGCCUAGGGUUAGGCUAACUCUUAUAAUUUGUAUAUUAUGAUAGAAAGGAGUUUUUCUUCACGAAUUUCUAGAGUGGUGUACUCUUUAAUUAAAGUUGAGUUGAAGCUGGAUUCUGAUGAUUAAUUGAAUAAAUUUGUUUUUAAUUAUUAUCUCUUUCCUUCAAAUCUUGUAAAUUUGGAUUUCUAUCCGCUAACUUGUUUGAAAUUUGAAUGCUGGUAGAAUUAUAGUAAAUGCCCAACCUUUGAUGUUUAACGUAAAUUCUUUUUAGUCAUUAGCCCUUUUUCUUCAAUAAUCUGAUAAAUUUGGAUGUCUGUCUCUUGAAUGGUGUAGAAGAAUGGUUUAAAGAUGAGCUUAUUGGACAAUUAGGCUGUUAGUGACUGUUCCAUUAAAUGCUGUGUCCCUAAUCCUUUUGUUUCGGGGGCUCUGCAAACUGAAUGGCAAAGUCUUUUACUGAGGCAGUAAGGGGAGGUGCCAUUAAAGUCUUUUAAGCUUGCUCCGUAAAUGUAGGUUGUCAGGUGCUAAUUUGAUUCCUUUUUUGGCAGGGUUACGGCCAAUAUCUUUCAUCUGAAUACAUUAAAAUUAUAAUUAUGUAGAAUAACUUACUAUUAAAAGAUAUUACAUAUAGAUUUGUUCCUGAUUGUAUUUAAUUUUGCAACUAGUUUUUGAAAUAUCUGGUCAGAAAACAAUUAAUGCAUUAAAAGAUGACUUUGCAACACAUUCUUCUUGCGUAAAAUUUCAAAUGGAUAAAAGAUGGUUGAAAAGGAGUUGGGCAUUAUGAGAAUCGGGGCCUCUCGCACACAAACUUAGAAUUGGACCACUAGACCGAACACUCAUUUGUUGUCUAUAAUUUACUGUUAUUACAUUUACAGGUAGUAUUUUUCAAGAAAUGGUGCAUACCUUUUAUUUAUUGAUGAACUUUCUCUGAUCGGAAAUAGAUUGUUUGUGAUCCUUUUUGCUAUUGGAAUUUACACUUAUCAUCACAUCCCAAAAAUUGGGUUAGUAGAAUCUGGUUUGUGAAGUGUUCACGUCCCGAUUUUUAAAAUUAUCUUUGUGCAUUUAAUAAAUAAAUGAGUUAUUGGUCUAAUCAUUAAGUAUUAGUUACAUUGUCAUUGAAACCCGAGUUUGAUUCCUUUUCCUAGCAUCUUUUCUAUUAUUUUGCAAAUUUUACUUCAAAUCCUAGUAAGUGUCACACCUUGUUUUAAAAAUAAAUGUUGUAAGAGUUUAAAUAAGAAUGAGUUAGACUUAGUGGUUAAGAAGUAGUGGUAUCAGAUUAUUGUUCGCAAUCCUGUUAUAAGCCAAAAUAGAGUAAGCAUUGAUCUCCAAAACCAAAUCCGAAAAGCCACUCUCUUUCCUCUGUUAUGGUUGAACCCUACAGGGUGGUUAAGGACUUAAUUUUAGUUCAUUCUCUGCGUUGGGUACAGAUCUGAAUUGGAUCUAGUUAUAUCUAAGACGUAGGAGUUGCAGAAUAGCGAUAGAGUUUUGGUUUCGCGUUAAUCAAGUGUGGGUCUUACCUUUGGGUGUUUUGGUGAUAAUUGUAAAUUAUGUGAUAUGCAUGUUGGUUAAUUGUACAUGUUGAUUUUUGUGCUUAGCCGAAUAGCCUUGUGUUAGAUACGGGAUUGUCGAUUAUGGUAAGUGCUAAAAGGUGAUAGCCGAAUGUGCAAAGCCUUUAUUUGGGAUUAAUUGAAUGUGUAAGUGUUGAUUGUAAUUACUGAUUGUCUGCUAUGGCUGAGUAUGCAUAGACUGCUAAUGUAUUAUAUGGUAUUGUUAUCACAUGUUUCCCGAAUGUAUGAGAAAAUGCCUACUAUUCUGUAUUUACUAAUUGCAUGUAAAGCAUGCCACUGUUACUGAAUUACUGAUCGUAUGUUAAAACAUGCCACUAUUCUGUAUUGUACCUAUUCUAUCAUGCAUGUUAUGUGAUUCUGUUGUAUGGGUUGGAAAGAUUGAUGAUUGUGUAGUUCUGCCGGUUUAUUCGCAAAUAUGGGAGUUAUGGCGGAUAAUCCUCAAAUAUUGGAGUUCUGGCAGUAUAGCUGCAACAUUGGAGUAUUAUUCGGAGUUCUAGCGGUUCGUCCGCAAAUUUUUACUGGCAGUUUAACCACAAAUUAUUGUCAUUUUAUCUGCAAAUAUUAUUGUUACUGGUGAUUUAUCCACAAUGAGGUACGGCUCUUAUUGUUAUGGUGUGUACGGAUAGAUGAAUUCUGGGGAACUCAUGGUGUGUAGUGGAUGGAUGGAUAGGAAAUUGCACUGACAUCCAUGGACAUGUACAUACAUUCUGAGAACUCUGUGAUUCUGUAUAUUUUGAAACACUGUGAUCUGUGACACUGUUAUUACUAUUAUCUCUAUUUACUUGCAUGCUUUUGUGAUCUUUGGUACACUGAUUUCUUAUGAUUAGGACUCAUACUGAACAUUCAAGUUCACCCAUUUAAUUUACUCCUUACAG
rnacentral:lncRNA from 1 species